GCCUCGAUAUAUAAACAAUAUACCUUAGUAAUCAAAUACGCAUGAUUUUUAGCCUUACUUUACGUAACAUUGAUUGCCUUUUUCGAAGAAAAUUAUAUGCACAGAAAUCAUUUGAUGCUUCGAAGAUGUGGCAUAAUGCAUAUAUUCCACUGUUCACUUCAUGGAGACGCGAACGAAGGUUAACAAUAGAACCUUCGAAAAAGCAACUGUUUAUAACCGCCCAGGUAUUUUUACGGCUCCAAAUUCUGGAGAGGCCAAUCACUUUUCUUCUUUAUUGGUAAUAGGCGUGUAAGGUUUUGGUCUGGUCAUUCCAGUUGUAUAGAACUUGAGGCCUAUUU
rnacentral:lncRNA from 1 species